AACGUAGGAGGCGAGCGUUAUCCGGAGUUACUGGGCGUAAAGAGCGCGCAGGCGGCCAAGUCAGUCGAAUGUGAAAGCCCCCGGCUUAACUGGGGAGGGUCAUUCGAUACUGCUCGGCUCGAAGACAGGAGAGGGAAGCGGAAUUCCCGGUGUAGUGGUGAAAUGCGUAGAUAUCGGGAGGAACACCAGUGGCGAAGGCGACUACCUGGCCUGUUCUUGACGCUGAGGCGCGAAAGCUAGGGGAGCAAACGGG
rnacentral:rRNA from 1 species